AGCUUUGCACAGUGGCAGUAUCAUAGCCAAUGAGGUUUAUCCGAGGCACGAUUAUUGCUAAUUGAAAACUUUUCCCAAAAAAGACAGGGCCCCGGAAAAUCUAUCUGAAAAUUAUUAAUAAAA
ensembl:snRNA U4 U4 spliceosomal RNA